rnacentral:tRNA from 1 species
UCCCUGGUGGUUCAAUGGUUAGGACUCUGCAUUUACACUGCAGGGGGCAUGGGUUCCAUCCCUGGUUAGGGAA